AACGAACGCUGGCGGCAUGCCUAACACAUGCAAGUCGAACGGUAAGUUGAGUAGCAAUACUUAGCCAAGAGUGUCGUACGGGUGCGUAACACGUAUGCAACCUACCCUAUACAGGAGGAUAGCCUAGGGAAACCUGGAUUAACCCUUCAUAGUAUUAUUGGAUGGCAUCAUUUGAUAAUUAAAACUGAGGUGGUACAGGAUGAGCAUGCGUCUGAUUAGCUAGUUGGUAGUGUAAUGGACUACCAAGGCAAUGAUCAGUAGGGGAACUGAGAGGUUGAUCCCCCACACUGGCACUGAGAUACGGGCCAGACUCCUACGGGAGGCAGCAGUAGGGAAUAUUGGACAAUGGGUGAGAGCCUGAUCCAGCCAUGCCGCGUGCAGGAAGAAGGCCUUCUGGGUUGUAAACUGCCUUUAUCUGGGGAUAAAAAGGCCUUGCGAGGCAAACUGAAGGUACCAGAUGAAUAAGCCACGGCUAACUACGUGCCAGCAGCC
rnacentral:rRNA from 1 species